rnacentral:rRNA from 1 species
GUGUCAGCAGCCGCGGUAAUACGUAGGGUGCAAGCGUUGUCCGGAAUUAUUGGGCGUAAAGAGCUCGUAGGCGGUCUGUCACGUCGGGUGUGAAAGCCCGGGGCUCAACCCCGGGUCUGCACUCGAUACGGGCAGACUUGAGUUCGGCAGGGGAGACUGGAAUUCCUGGUGUAGCGGUGAAAUGCGCAGAUAUCAGGAGGAACACCGGUGGCGAAGGCGGGUCUCUGGGCCGAUACUGACGCUGAGGAGCGAAAGCGUGGGGAGCAAACAGGAUUAGAUACCCUGGUAGUCCACGCCGUAAACGGUGGGCGCUAGGUGUGGGGAACCUUCCACGUUCUCUGUGCCGCAGCUAACGCAUUAAGCGCCCCGCCUGGGGAGUACGGCCGCAAGGCUAAA